rnacentral:lncRNA from 1 species
UCUAGUGGUCGAUGGACCUUCACGUACGUAUGGUGCUCAGCGUGGUGGAUGGUUGCAUGUCCAGUGCCCAGUGGAGAUUGGAGAAGGAGCUCCUCUUUUCGUCUCAUGGAGGAUAAUACAUUAGGCGCCUUUUAUUUUGUGUUGUAGUAUAUGCAACCAGUGCCCAUUCGUCCAGGUAGUACUGUAGUAGUAUGGUAGUGUGCAAGGUGCUGGAGUACGCUGAUCUUCAAGUAUCUCUGGUAUAUCAUAGAUUGUGUGUGUCGCUUAACAUAAGAGGCGAUCGUGUGAAUCUCUUCAGAGUCCGUUCAAGAAAAAAAAAUUCAUAUUCUUGUGUCUUCUAUUUUAUGCAUUUUGUACAUAAUUUCUGUCAAGCGGAGGAAACUACUUUUGCUUCAGGAAAACGUUAACUAAAUAUAGCAUA